rnacentral:rRNA from 1 species
UACAGAGGGUGCGAGCGUUAAUCGGAAUUACUGGGCGUAAAGCGUGCGUAGACGGCUAUCUAAGUCGGGUGUGAAAGCCCCGGGCUCAACCUGGGAACUGCAUUUGUGACUGCAUGGCUGGAGUGCGGCAGAGGGGGAUGGAAUUCCGCGUGUAGCAGUGAAAUGCGUAGAUAUGCGGAGGAACACCGAUGGCGAAGGCAAUCCCCUGGGCCUGCACUGACGCUCAUGCACGAAAGCGUGGGGAGCAAACAGG